GUUCAGGCGUUUCGUGGAGGUUGGCCGAGUGGCCUACAUCUCCUUUGGGCCCCAUGCUGGAAAGCUGGUCGCAAUCGUAGAUGUUAUUGAUCAAAACAGGGCUUUAGUGGAUGGACCCUGCACCCGGGUGAGGAGACAGGCCAUGCCUUUCAAAUGCAUGCAGCUCACUGACUUCAUCCUCAAGUUCCCACACAGGUAACACCCGGUUCUAAGUCACUCUUUGGUUUGGUGCCAUGGUCCAUUAUAUACAGACAAUACAGGUGUUUUGGAGCCAACCCAGAAAAGGUGUCUAUAUUUAGCAAACAUACCUUAAUUUACUUAACAUGGCUUCAUUCGUUUGCCAUCGUGGAAGUUAGCUAUAUUUGGUCUUCCGCUUUACUGUUUGAGUCUCCCCCACCCCCCAACCCCUUAUAAAUUCAGUGAAAAUGGCUGUUCUUGGGUAGCCCAAAUUGACCCCAGACUUGCAACCUUCCUGUCUUGACUUCCCUUAGUAAUGCGGUUGGUGGGUGCUACCAUGCCCCCUGCAAAAACCUGUCAUUUGAUGGACUUGGGUAUUUAACAUGAAGAAGUGUGUUUCCAGCUUGGAAAUGAAGGCAACAGUGAUUGUUUGGUUUUUCUUGGAAAUGCAGGUUAAGACUUCUGCAGUACUGUGCAGUUGUCUUCAGGGAUUGGUGCACUGAAGCACCUGCUGUAAUGAGCCACCAGAGUACAUUUAACUCGGGUGGUCCAUGAGACACGCAGGUCAGGGGU
rnacentral:lncRNA from 1 species